GGGGGGGGGGGGGGGGGGGGGGGUACGGCUCCUGCCGCCUCCCAGCCCUCCGCCUGGAUCUCCCUGCGUGAGACAGCGCUGCAAGCGGAUCCUGACCGGGGGCAGGGGGUGGAGAGAGGAGGAGGAGGAGGAGGACGGAUAGAGGGAGGGAGGGAGAAAGGGAGGGAGGGAAGGAGGGACGAACGGGAGCCUCUCUCCUUCCCUGGGCUGUUUUUUCAGUUUCCUGUCUCGCAUUGUGCUCACAGCGGAUAUGUGCUGCGCCUACAGGAGCAAGUACACAUCAAAAGGCAUUUCAUCCUGGGCGCUAUUUGCACAGAAGCCUGAGCCCCAAGGAGUCCCUUCCACUAGCAACACUUGUGCUGCUCAGGCGCAGAGAGUGAGGGGGACAGCCCAGGGCUCAGUUCUGGGGCUCAGCUGGUACCCCCAGGAGCACAGCUGA
rnacentral:lncRNA from 12 species